CAAACCGUAAAUUUUAUCUGAGCUAAAAGUUUAAAUCACCGUCAAUUUCAGUCUUUUAUGUUGGAAACAGAUUCAGAGUUUGCCGACAUUCCUUAUCAUACAGAGGUCCGUUGGCUGAGUUGGGAUAACAAUUCUCAAUAGAGUUUUUGAGCUCAGCAAGGAAAUCUGUCAGUUCAUGGACAUGACAUGUAUGAUGCGGUGAAGGCAUUUCAAGUGAAGCUGUCACAAAUGCACCAGUGCAACUUGCCUCACUUUCUCUGUUGCCAAGUAAUGUUGCACCAAGUCAGCGGACUUUGCUGAACUGCACCUGUGCAGAUUCAGAUGGAGCUGCAGUGUAAUGAUACACUCAAGGCAAAGUACGACACUGAAUGGCCCGCACAGUUUAUUAGUUCCAUUCCUGCAGCAAUGCCCCAGCUCCAUCUACAUGCGGCUCGAACCUUGUGUAUGCUUUCAUUUAUUUUUUCUGCACUGUAAAAAAUCAAACUUGCAAUUGUUGAGCUUACAGUCAUUUCUUUCACAAUUCAACAAUAAAAGUUGAGUUGCGCCAUAAACUCAAAUACAUUAAGGGUUUCAACUAAUCCUUUAACGCUUUGGAGCAAAAGUUGGUCUCAGAUGAAAUUUAUUGCUGGCAAAAUGAAUGAAUUCAAGUUUUACAUGAGUUGAAGCUGUUGGCGCCUUUCUGUGCCUGAGCACGCAUGCGCAUCUCAUAUUUUUGGAUAAUGCGGGGUCUACUUUGCGCUUUUGCAAGGACUGAAAGCCACCUGGCUGUCUGCCUUAAUGAGAACGUGAGGCUUUUUAUACCAGGAGCUGGAUAGAUCGUUCAUCUCAACUUUCUAAAGGCAAGUAAUGUUUCUUUUAUUAUAUCAGACAGUAUAUGUUUGAACAGUCUCAAUUUGUCUUUUAGAAAUAUCACAACUGAAGUUCUUCGUAUUUUUCCGAAACUUAGCAUAGCAUUACUUUCUAGGCUAAGAAGCCUUGUGGCUUAUGGGUAUGUGUUUACUAUAUCAUUUAAGAUUCCAUGCCACAAACUACGUGCCAUGUCACGUGGCCGCCAUACCACCGAACAAAACAAAAUAGGCUGUCUCGCUCAUGACCAACGGCGGCAACCCCCCUCCCUGCUAUUUAAAAAUAAAUCCUUUUAGCCAAUAAAAUGUGUGCUUUAGUUUCUGUGUGAACCGGGUGGUGGAGUCCUCAUGGCCAGCAAGCUCCACCAAACACACAAACAGGGGGGAGAGGAAGAUCAGAGAAGCAGCUACAGAGCUGUAAAUAUGAGGGUAUUUUAAAUACGAAGGCCUACUAGAGUCUGCAAGAGUCAUAUCAAACAGACUUUAAAUAACUUAAAAAACACAGAUGCAUUAGAACUAUGCAUCCAGUAAUGAAGCUGGAACAACACAGAUGAACAAGUGAUUAGGACCGGGCGACAUAUCGAGUUUCUAAAUAUAUUGAUAUAUUUUUAUACGAGAUAUGAGAUGUAACAAUAUCGUUUAUAUCGAUAUAGUCUGUUACAUUAUAAUUAUACUUGUGGAGCCGCAAGUUUGCCUCUCUUUCGUCCACUUUUGUCUCUACGCAAUGUUACUCCGCCUCGGCUCUCUCCUUCACUGACACAACUCCCCCUCCCCCAUCGCUUCACCUGCAGGCAACAAGAUGGACACGGCAGCUAUCAAAAAGGAACUGAGAAUUAAAAGCCAACUCCAGACCACUGCUUGCUUGUCCUGAUUUGUGAGGGAUUGAUGGAGAGUUGGUAAGGAGAGGAAUCAGAACAGGAGCGCCUCCCUCUGCCCCCAAACACAUAAUCAGUUUUUGUCUGCAGUGCCAGUUCUGCUCUUUUGUCUGUUCAAGCCAAGAAGUACUCUUAAGGCAUCACCAGCUACGACAUAGAAGAGGAUUUCAUUUGCCCUGUGUUUACAGUGACUGCGUCUGUUCGUUUAGGACACAAGGGGCAUUGAAGUCUCACCUCAGCAGAUCACAUAACAGGGCUAAGAAAAG